AGUGAACGCUGGCGGUAGGCCUAACACAUGCAAGUCGAACGGCAGCACAGUAAGAGCUUGCUCUUACGGGUGGCGAGUGGCGGACGGGUGAGGAAUACAUCGGAAUCUACUUUUUCGUGGGGGAUAACGUAGGGAAACUUACGCUAAUACCGCAUACGACCUACGGGUGAAAGCAGAGGAUCUUCGCACCUUGCGCGAUUGAAUUAGCCGAUGUCGGAUUAGCUAGUUGGCGGGGUAAAGGCCCACCAAGGCGACGAUCCGUAGCUGGUCUGAGAGGAUGAUCAGCCACACUGGAACUGAGACACGGUCCAGACUCCUACGGGAGGCAGCAGUGGGGAAUAUUGGACAAUGGGCGCAAGCCUGAUCCAGCCAUACCGCGUGGGUGAAGAAGGCCUUCGGGUUGUAAAGCCCUUUUGUUGGGAAAGAAAAGCAGCAGGUUAAUACGCCGCUGUUCUGACGGUACCCAAAGAAUAAGCACCGGCUAACUUCGUG
rnacentral:rRNA from 1 species